UGGUGGAGUGAUUUGUCUGGUUAAUUCCGAUAACGAGCGAGACCUCAGCAUACUAAUUAGCUAUAGAAAUCUACGGAUUUCUGAUUCAAUAGCUUCUUAGAGGGACUAUCGGUGUGUAGCCGAUGGAAGUUUGAGGCAAUAACA
rnacentral:rRNA from 1 species